GUGUGUGGUGUAGGUGUGUGUGGUGUGUGGGGGUGUGUGUGUGGUGUGUGGGGGUGUGUGUGGUGUGUGUGUGGGGGGUAGAGAAUGAAAUAUCCUCUGUUCACGGUGGAUUAAUUAUCUGCUAGUCACACGGAGAGACAUCCACUUAUAUAUAUUUAUGCUGAACAAUAUAAUUGUAGUGCAUCUGUGCAUGAAUGUCUGUCUCCCUGUCCGCUGGACAUCCCCUAUGAAUGCGUUGCAGGUCCAUGCACGCCUUGGCGAGACGGUGUGGAAGAGGCUUCAUCCGACAGUGGAUCGACAAUGGCCGCUGCUGGUGCUGCUAAUGCCUAUAAUGUGGUUGAUGAUCCUACAACUGCCAUUACAUUUUGCGACUUACGGUGAUGAUACGGCUGCUGCGUCGAGUGCUGAUGCUGCUGCGAUUGCCGAUGAAUGCAAUGCGUCUGCUGGUGAUUGAUGCGGUUGCUGUCGAUUGCGAUAACGACGUCGAUCUGCAACGUCCCCUCCUCGAGAAGAGUGCGGUGGAUGUUGCAGUGGAGAAACCUCGCGUGCGCAAACCGAGCUGCCGGCAAAAAGACGCAUCGGUCGAGAGAGGCAGGCACAAUGGGUCGCUGUGCGUACAGAGGCGAGAUAUUUACCCGUGAGAGGCGAGCGAAAUGUUGACUACGCCCAGAUGCAUGAUGCUGCAGAGCGAUGUUUUCGCACCAGUGAUGUCCGCUGAUGAUCCACGCGCGUGCAGCGUGCCGACGCCUGCGCCGUCUUUUGUCUUUGCGUCCUGGUGGGUAGAGGGGCUCGCUGACAGCACUUGCCCCCGACAGCCCGAUGUAGGCUAUGCGGGGGAUCUUUGCCUGUGUCCCGGUGUCUCCGUCCUUUCUCUCUGUCCUUGCACGCAAAUCGGAAGAACAUUCGCAAUUGGCGGAGCUUUGCGCUGCUGCUGCUGCCUGCCCUGCACUGCAAUGCGAACGUCACGAGUAGGCGUUCGGGCUCAUGUUCCAAGCCAGCAUUCUGUUGCGACAGUAUAUGAUUACUGUAUUAAGGUUGGAGCUGCAGUGCAGUGGUUAGCGCGCUGCGCUACGAACCCGGCGACGCGAAUUCGAUUCCCGCUCACGGCCAAUACCAGUGACGAUUCAUGAACCGGUCCUGGGCUUCCCUGCAGUGGACUCAGCCAUAAUACAAGUAUCUGGUACGGUGUGUGAGCAUCACCACUCGGGAGACAAAGGCGGCCGGGCGUGGUGCUGGCCACCCACUCCCUCGUGUGCCGUUCUGGCCUACAUGGGUGCUCGCUAACAGCACUUGCCCCAAGUCUGUACAGGCUACACGGGAGAUCUUUGUCUUUGUACAUACAAAUGUAUGCUGAAGCGUCACACUCUGGCGAACCGCGAGCCCUGAAACAAUGAACACCUUCCGGUCGAUCCUUCUCCUUUUAAGCGGAGCCAACCUAAAGGUAAGUUGAACACGUAGGCUUUCGCGACCAAUAUUAUUUCUAAAAUGUUUUUGGGUUAGAUCGCGUAAAUAUAAAUAUGUCGUAAUCCUCCACCACCCGACAGCCAAUUAGGAAGGGAUUUGUCACUUGACUACUUCAGGCCACCAGUGUGUUGGAGAGUAAAUCCCCAACAUUUACAAUGUUAGUUCUGGCAAAUCGCCCGAUGAUGCUAGAUGUAAUUACCAGCGAAACGUCGCACUACUCAAAUUGUAAAUGUUGUGGAUUUACUCGCCAACACACAGGUGGCCUGAAGUAGUAACGUGACAAAUUCCUUACUAAUUGGCUGUGGGGUGGGAGGGUUACGACACAUUUAUACUUACCGCGCUCGAACCCAAAAAACCUUUAUGAACCUAAAGGCCGUCAGUUUUGGGGCUAACAUAAAAUAAUGUUGAUUGUUGUUGCUGUCGGUGGGUGGGGGUGAUUUUGAUCAUUAUACACCGAGACUCGACGAGAAGUCUAAACAUUCAGCUUCCUAGCACUUCCAGAUCAUCUUUAUAAAAGUGGCCCGUUAAACGCCCUUAGACGUGACAAUUUAUUUGGCUGUGUCGGGUGCUUGAGGGCCUUACGGCAGAGAUUUGGCCAGAUCACUUCGUGGCCUAACCACCAAAAGAGUAUGGAUCACAUUAGCUGGCAAAACCUUCUGCAGCCGUCUGGAACGCUCUUCCUUCUGAUAUUAGGAAGCCACUGGAACUUUGCCCUUUUAAAUCUUUACUGGAAACGCAUUUCUUUAGAAGUGCUGUUUAUCCUGUUGUCCCCCCCCCCCACACCUCUGAUGAACAAGGUUGGCUACGUACGGUGCGAAAGAAGCUCAACACACAUACAUAUCUCGAGUUACCGUCGGCUGAUCGUGCAAGUCGGAGCGAUCCACAGAUUCACCCACUCCGGAAUCUCCAUGACCACAGACCGAAGUCCUUGAGUUUCCCGGUCACAUAGACCUGGUGAUACUUAGCUGUCACCCUUGCAAAGGACUCCUGCUGGUGACUUUACCGAAAGAACCAAGAAGAUGAAUCCCUGCAGUCACGAAAGCUUUAAAUCGAAAUUUACUGAAAGAACCAAAGAGUAAGACACUUAUUUUAAAUCGGUCUUGAGACUCGGCAAGACAUUCACGUGUAUAUUGACAUGUGCAUGAUAGUAUUUAUUGUAAAAUGUGAAGUAUUUAUUUAUAUACCACACGACCUCAAAAAUUACUUAUGGCUGUUUUUAUUAACAGACAAUUACUGUAUGUUACAUGAACAUUAACAAAAAAAGCUACACAUUCCUUCCAAAAUAUUAUCAUGGUUGAUUUUUCAAAGCAAUGUAACAGUAUAUUCUGCUCUAUAAUCGGCCAUAUUAAAAACAAAAAAAUAAACUCAUUACGGUCAAAAAGGCACAAAAUAAAUCAAAUUGCCUGCUCCAAUACUAACACAUGAGCCACCUUAAGGGCAUUAUACCAUUAACUACUCCACCAUACGCUUAGCCAAAAUGUCCACUUUAAAAAUUUCCUGUUAAAUAAUAACAAUAAAGUGUAAAUUCGCAUAAUUCGGCGCAAGUAAAAUCUUGCAAAGUUUUUAAAAAAUCUUGUAUCGCGAGCGAUACAAGGACGAGAAGUCCCUUAAAGUGGCUCAAAGAAGGGUGGGUAUGCGGGGAGGAAACAGAAAUACUACAAAACUGAAAGGUGUUGACAUGAAACGUGUUAAGUUGUCGUUGUUUUGUUUUUUAUAUAAACGGGUUAUCGGCUCGUUCCAAGAGCUAAGCUUGCCCUCUGGUGUGGGAACGUCAGCGAAGACGCGGCCGGCGUGUUGCGUGAUGCCAAAGUCAUCGACGACGGCCCUUCACGGCAGCGAAAGAAACAAAGCGCGAAAACAAACUUGCCCCGUGACUCGCAGCGCUCACGAGGUGCUGAGAGGAUACCCCCCCAACCUAAAAUUCCGAUGCGCUAAACAAAAACCCCAAAAUGCUCCAAUCGACAAAAAUUACUGUUCUUUGUGUUUUUUAAAUUUCUCGAUAGACAAAAGUAGAGAAAACAUGUUCACGAUUCUAAGCUAAACAACCAAUGCCAAGUCCUCUUUGCUUCCAAAACUGCAUAGUAACGGUUGGUUCUAACUUCAAUUGUAAUCAUGAUCACACGUUAUUGGUUCCUUUGAUAAUUUUUUUGAAAAUAUUCGUCAAAAUGUGCAUGUUGAUGUUCAGAUGUACGUGUUUUUUUAUUGUCCGUGCACCAUGAUA